ACCCGGCGGAGGUCUCAGCAGCGCCUCCUCCCCCUCCCCCCCCGGCUGCAUGCGCUGCUGCCCUCCGCUGCCGUCGUCCUCGAACCAGGCGCUCAGCAGCCUCAGGGCGGGUAUGGACCUGGCCGCCGCCACCACUGCCCGACGUACGGGGGGAAGGCUGGCAGCUGCGGGGGAGCCGUCUGCCUGCGGACAACGUGGAGAGGGGGCAGGGGGGAGCCAUACACAUGCGGGGGGAGAACGGGGAAGGGAGGGGUGUGGAUUUCCCACCAGUCUGACAAAGGUGCGCGAGCUGCAUACACACAUACGUACACGCACAUGCACACAGGGAAGAGAGGACAGCCCUACUGUCUGGCUGCCCCUGGGCUGGGCCCCCCCCCAGUUGACCUCUCCUACCGCCACAGAUCGGGUGCCUCAGCCCCCCGCCCCCCCCCGCCCCCCAUAUCCUCCCAACCACCCAGCCCCACGCAGUCAACCUCUCCCCCACCUCACCCCCAGCCGCUGCCUGAGCUCCCCUGCCGCCCGGCACAUGCCCAUAAGCCCCGAAACCAGCUGCCGUACAGUCACACAUUGACUGCGCCGGGUGCUCACUGCCCACGCCACAUCGCAAGGGUCCCCCUCCUCCUCCUCCUCCUCGCCCUGCUGCUGUUGCUGCAAUGGGUAGUCCGCCCCCUCACCACCACUGCCAUUACCACCACUUCCCCCCGCUCCCGCUCCCGCUGCCCCGGCCGGUGCUGCUCCCCGCCUGGCUGGGGAUUGACAGCCCACCUGGAGGGGCAGGCGCAGUAGCAGACAGCGGUAGC
rnacentral:lncRNA from 1 species